GGACGCCGAGUUCCCAGGGGGCUAAAAACGGUCUGGGAUGGGGGUGGCCAUCUCUCCUCCCUCUCAUCGUGUUGAAGGAGCUGGGGCCAAAGGUCAGGAUGACUUGGAAGGCAGGGAAGCAGAGUGAAGACAUGGAAGAUUGAAGAACUCUGGACAUAGCCUGGGGCUUCCACCUCAGAGUAUCAGGUGAGAAUCUUGUCCUCAGAAGACUGUGGGAAAGGGUCUAUUGUAGCCCAUUUUACAGAUAAAGAAACUGAGAUGCUCCCAAGUUCAGACACAGACCCCAGAAGAGCACAGACUUGGCCAGGAGAUUCCAGACAAGAAAGUGGCUGAAAGAAUCCUCGUGCCGGAAAUCCUGACAGCUGCCUGGCUAAAAGGUCCUGGGCACUGGGCCCUGACCCAGGCCAGGAGGAGGCCAUGUCAGGUGUCCAGAGAAGUUGGGGGAGGUGAUAGCUG
rnacentral:lncRNA from 1 species